rnacentral:rRNA from 1 species
AGAAUCAACGCUGGCGGCGUGCCUAACACAUGCAAGUCGAACGAGAAAGUGGAGCAAUCCAUUAGUAAAGUGGCGCACGGGUGAGUAACACGUGACUAACCUACCCUUGAGUGGGGGAUAACCUAGGGAAACCUGGGCUAAUACCGCAUAAUACCUUCGGGUCAAAGGAGCAAUUCGGCUUUAGGAGGGGGUCGCGGCCGAUUAGUUAGUUGGCGGGGUAAUGGCCCACCAAGACUGUGAUCGGUAUCC